rnacentral:rRNA from 1 species
UAGGGAAUAUUGCGCAAUGGGGGAAACCCUGACGCAGCAACGCCGCGUGAGUGAGGAAGGUCUUCGGAUUGUAAAACUCUUUUAUUAGGGAAAAAUGUCUUUGUGGCUAAUAUCCAUAGAGAGUGAUGGUACCUAAGGAAUAAGGACCGGCUAACUUCGUGCCAGCAGCCGCGGUAAUACGAAGGGUCCAAGCGUUGUUCGGAAUCAUUGGGCGUAAAGCGCGCGCAGGCGGAUCAGCAAGUCAGAUGUGAAAUCUCGAAGCUCAACUUCGAAACUGCGUCUGAAACUGCUAGUCUAGAGUGUCGGAGGGGGUAGGGGAAUUUCACGUGUAGGGGUAAAAUCCGUAGAGAUGUGAAGGAACACCGGAGGCGAAGGCGCCUACCUGGACGACUACUGACGCUGAGGCGCGAAAGCGUGGGGAGCAAACA